UGUUGUUGUUCUGGUUGCUGGUCUCGUUCUUGUCCUUGUGGCUGGGUCUGGACUGGGUUACCUCUGCAUACGUCUCUGUUGCAGUGUCAGCCAGCGUAAGCCAGGAUGGCAUGCAGAUUGUUUUAAUUUGCACUGGGGACUGUCUUUGGCUCUAUGAAUAAGAAAGCAUCUUUAAAUACUCCCUGCCUCUACUGAGCUGAGUGCUCCUCGUUUCCAGCUCUGCAGUGCAUGUAUGCGCUUGGCCAGCAGGAUCAAAGCUGGGCCUACAAGGCAAUCUUCCCUGACCGCGCCGUUAACAUGUUGUAAGAUAUGGAGCUGUUUGUGCCUGAAAGCCUGAGCAGACCCCAAA